UUGCAUUCACGAGCGCGUGAUGCACGAGGAGCCGUGGCAGUGCCCGCAACAACGCGUACAUCUUUGUGGAGCGUACACACACACACACACGUGAUAGCAAACACCAUCGGAAGGGCGCCCACUCACAGGCUAACAGGAAAGGCGCGAUGAUGGCCAGACAACGACCGACGACUGUGGCGACGCUGCUACUGCUGCUUUGCUUGCUGGCAAGCGCAAGCUCAGUCGACGCGUGGGAUAGCAGCGAAGACGCCAAGGCCAUGGCGAAGCGUGCGAAGCAUGAACAAAUCCAGUUUUGGGAGCGUGAGGUCAACAUCCUCCGCCAGGGCGAGCUGACGAGGGCGUACAACAAACUCUACCAGGCGGAGGCAGCGUUGGAGUCUGCCCGUGCCAAGCAGGGCUUCUUCUACACACGACCACAGGACAAGGCGACGAUACGCUUGCUUGAUGAGGAUUACCGCAGAACGUUGGUGGAGGUGAAGGCCCUAAAGGAGCAAGAGCGCCUCAUCAUGGCGAAGCUGAAGCCGCUCUACGGCGUCGUCUCGCUGCACUUUGCGCAGGAGCAGAAGCGCACCAUCUCGGAGUCUAUCAAGACCGUGCAAUCGCUCAGCUACGACAACGCGUGGUACUCCUCCCUCUUCAGCCUCGGCGAAGCGGAGAGCUUCUCCGACAUCAUCAUGGGCUUUAUUGGAAACUGGGUCAUCGGCUUCGUCAUUCUCUACCCCUUCGCGGUUCUCUACUACGCGCUGUGGGCCGCGCCGUGGAGCGUGUACGAGUACACCGCUGGCGCUGCAGACCUCGUCCCUGGCGCCGUCGCUUACGCCGCAUGUGUCGUGGUGAUGUGUCUGCCUCUUAUCGUUCUUGCGCUCACCUUCUACUUGUUGAUUCGGCACUACGGGCCACAGCUACAGGCGGCUGCGCAGCAAGCACAGGCGCGCCGACAUCAGGACUGACGCGUAUCGGUAAAGAACAUGUACAGGGCUGUCGACCCGUGACGGAGGGAGGGCCCGUAAGAACGAAUGAGCUUGCAGAAGGGGGUCAACGAACACUUUGGUGCUCGUGUGCGGUGUAGCCGCUUCACGCUUCUGUUUUUCUUUUUUCCCGUGCUUCCUAUCUGGAACGUCCCUGUGAAGCUGCCGACUUGUCCCGGGGGUGGGGUGGGGAGAGAUGAGGAGGGUGUGAUGGACGGCGAAACGCCGCUUCUCCAAAGGCUGAGUGGAUGGGCGCAAGAGGUGGGCGUGCUUGAUACCAUCGCUGAUGGACCGCGGCACCCCAUUUUCCCCUCUCACCCCUCCGCCUCCGCAGACACGUUGUCUCUCGCUGUCGCUGUCCCACAGUCCCCGAUGAACGCACGCACGCUGUGCAUAGGCGCUCCACCUUCCCUCUCUCUUUCGUUAUUGCUGUGCUUCGGGGGUGCCUUGAGUUUUACGCAU
rnacentral:misc_RNA from 1 species